UGCGGGGUCGUCUAACGGUAGGACUGCAGACUUUGAAUCUGUAUAUUUAGGUUCGAUUCCUAGCCCCGCAG
rnacentral:tRNA from 1 species